AUGCACCUCAAUCAUGCUCCCAGCGUUCCCGAACCCAGCCAGGUGCACACAUUUUCCGGACCAUCAGGGUCUAUCUUAGAAAGCCAGACGGCUUUCUCCUUAAGUAUCUGAACUGCACUUUCCCUUGACCACAGGCCACAAUCCAGGCACAAGAGGAUGCAUUAGCUAUUACUCAGGCUCUGCCUUGGCCUGCAAGGAGGAUGCCUAUGGCAAUUCUAUCAUCCAUACAACUCCAGGCCGGGAAAUCAGUUGAGAUUACUGCAGCUCCCUGGGCGAAAAGUGACAGCAGCCUGGACCAGAGUGAUACCUUGAAUGUGUGGAGAAGACACGAUUGACAGCACUUGUUGAAAGAUUGGAAGUCGCCACAAGGAAGAGAGAGGAAGGAGAGCCGACCUCAGGAUCCUGAGGAAAAGGUCAGGAGACCUGCCCUGCAAAGAGAGAUCAUGAAUUUAAUUUUCAGAAAGGGAACUAAAACACACUUGAUCCAUGCAACCUCUCGCGGCUUAUAGAUCAAAAUGGGAAGAAUGCAAAGAUUAGCACGGCCCCUUCACGUGGCUAGUUCACACAUUUGUGAUGUGUAAUCAAUAAAAAAAGCUGAUCGCACUCCAAAAAGAAAAGUAUAAAGAAAAAACAAACUAAAAUAAAUAUUGUCACUAAGAAAGAUUAAAGGGG
rnacentral:lncRNA from 1 species